UUUCGACCUGAGGUCAGGCAAGAACACCCGCUGAACUUAAGCAUAUCAAUAAGCGGAGGAAAA
rnacentral:rRNA from 1 species